rnacentral:rRNA from 1 species
GGGGGAUAACAGUUAGAAAUGACUGCUAAUACCGCAUAAGCGCACGGAAUCGCAUGAUUCAGUGUGAAAAGCCGAGACGGUAUGAGAUGGACCCGCGUCUGAUUAGGUAGUUGGUGAGGUAACGGCCCACCAAGCCGACGAUCAGUAGCCGGACUGAGAGGUUGGACGGCCACAUUGGGACUGAGAUACGGCCCAGACUCCUACGGGAGGCAGCAGUGGGGAAUAUUGCACAAUGGGGGAAACCCUGAUGCAGCAACGCCGCGUGAAGGAAGACGGUUUUCGGAUUGUAAACUUCUUUUCUUAGUGAAGAAGAAAGUGACGGUAGCUAAGGAAUAAGCAUCGGCUAACUAC